UCAGUUGUUUCUUGUGUGAGGAAUGGCCAGAUUCGGGAGAUGGUUUUUCAGGUGAAUGCGGCAGGAUUUGGUGAGGGACUGGAUGUGAGGGAUGAAGGAGAGAGUCAAGUGUGAAACCAAGGCAGUGAUCUUGGUCUGUCGGUUGAAUAGUGGAAUUGUUGUCUUGCAAUACGAUCUAUGAUGCAAUUCCAGAAAGACAGCUGGUGAGGUGAGUUAGAAGAGAGUGUGAAAGGUCGGGAGAGGAGAUAAAGAUUAGGGUGGCAUUGAUAACCAAAAGAAGAUCUGAGUUGUCCAACUGAAGAGGCGUAGAUAGAGAAGAGUAGAGGCCCAUGAACUGAGCCAUAAGGAACACCAACAGUGGUAGAGGGGAGGAACACGUUACAGCGAAGGAGACACUAAAAGUACGGUGAGAGAGGUAGGAUUUAUUCUAGAAAGUAAAGAGAAAUGGCCUUUUGUUUUAUUAGUGAGGAGGUCAUAAUUUUAGUCUCUCUGGAAUUCUGUGCACAGAAACCAGAUUGUAGAAGGCAAAGCAGAGAGCUUGUGGAGAGAAAUGUAGUUAAUUGAUUAUAAGUUAUAAUCGUUUCAGCUGUUUGGAUGCCAA